CCUACGGGGUGCUGCAGUGAGGAAUAUUGGUCAAUGGACGAGAGUCUGAACCAGCCAAGUAGCGUGAAGGAUGACUGCCCUAUGGGUUGUAAACUUCUUUUAUAUGGGAAUAAAAUGUUCCACGUGUGGGAUUUUGUAUGUACCAUAUGAAUAAGGAUCGGCUAACUCCGUGCCAGCAGCCGCGGUAAUACGGAGGAUCCGAGCGUUAUCCGGAUUUAUUGGGUUUAAAGGGAGCGUAGGUGGAUUGUUAAGUCAGUUGUGAAAGUUUGCGGCUCAACCGUAAAAUUGCAGUUGAAACUGGCAGUCUUGAGUACAGUAGAGGUAGGCGGAAUGCGUGGUGUAGCGGUGAAAUGCUUAGAUAUCACGAAGAACUCCGAUUGCGAAGGCAGUUCACUGGACUGCAACUGACACUGAGGCUCGAAAGUGUGGGUAUCAAACAGGAUUAGAUACCCUUGUAGUC
rnacentral:rRNA from 1 species